rnacentral:rRNA from 1 species
AGAGUUUGAUCCUGGCUCAGGAUGAACGCUGGCGGCGUGCCUAACACAUGCAAGUCGAGCGAAGCGGUUUCGAUGAAGUUUUCGGAUGGAUUCGGAAUUGACUGAGCGGCGGACGGGUGAGUAACGCGUGGGUAACCUGCCUCAUACAGGGGGAUAACAGUUAGAAAUGACUGCUAAUACCGCAUAAGCGCACAGGACUGCAUGGUCCAGUGUGAAAAACUCCGGUGGUAUGAGAUGGACCCGCGUCUGAUUAGCUAGUUGGUGGGGUAACGGCCUACCAAGGCGACGAUCAGUAGCCGACCUGAGAGGGUGACCGGCCACAUUGGGACUGAGACACGGCCCAAACUCCUACGGGAGGCAGCAGUGGGGAAUAUUGCACAAUGGGGGAAACCCUGAUGCAGCGACGCCGCGUGAGUGAAGAAGUAUUUCGGUAUGUAAAGCUCUAUCAGCAGGGAAGAAAAUGACGGUACCUGACUAAGAAGCCCCGGCUAACUACGUGCCAGCAGCCGCGGU